AGAGAACAAAUCGUAACAAGCCAUGCAUGUAUGUUAUUUUAAAAAAAACAGGUUUUAUCCUGUAAUUAAUGGAAACUUACUGAACAUUCGUAAGUAAGAGAAAGAUACAAUCAGAUCUACUAAAGUUUUUUUCUAAGACUCCUUUUUUUCUCCCAAAUAACCUGAUUUCUUCAAGAGAGAGACUUCAGUGCUUGGUAACCUUUUAUAGACUCUGGCUGAUGAUACUCUCCAGUCAAAAAGAGUCCCAUGAUAUGGUCCUAAUAUGUCUUCUUCACCUGUGUAUUCCAGCACCCAGAACAAUUCUGAUACUCAGAAAGUACCUAGAAAUUGCUUGCUGACACUCUAAGUCAUCUGUAAAGCAGAAGGAUGCCACAAAGGACCACGAUAAAACCAGACUGAAACAGCUAGAUCCAAGAUGGUGGAUAAAGGCUUCCCUGGUGGCUCAGUGGUAAAGAAUCAGCCUGCCAAUACAGGAAACACGGGUUCAGUUCCUGGGCCAGGAAGAUCCCACAUGCAACAGAGCAACUACUGAAGCUCCGUUGCCACAAUUACUGAAGCCCAAGCACCCUAGAGCCAGUUCUCCACAAGAGAAGCCGCAGCAAUGAGAAGCCCGUGCACUGCAACUAGAGAGGAGCCCCUGCUUGCUGAAGCUAGAGAAAAGCC
ensembl:lncRNA